GGUCAAGUUACUAAGAGCGUACGGUGAAUGACUUGGCGUCAGAAGGCGAUGAAAGACGUGGGAGCCUGCGAUAUGCCCAGGGGAGCUGGCAACCAAGCUUCGAUCCUGGGAUCUCUGAAUGGGGAAACCCGGCCCUUCGGGGUCAUCGGCACCUGAAUGCAUAGGGUGUCGAGGCGAACCUGGGGAACUGAAACAUCUAAGUACCCAGAGGAAAAUAAAUCAACCGAGAUUCCGUCAGUAGCGGCGAGCGAAAUCGGAACAGCCCAAACCGUCCUUCGGGGCGGGGUUGUGGGCGCCAACAAGGUACUGUGACGAAAGCGGCGAAUGGUCUGGAAAGGCCAACCAUAGAAGGUGAUGGUCCUGUAGCCGAAAUAGUCGCAGACCUAGGCGUACCAGAGUAGCGUCGGGCUCGUGAAACCCGGCGUGAAACAGGGGGGUCCACCCUCCAAGGCUAAAUACUCUCUGACGACCGAUAGCGAACCAGUAGAGCGAUUGAAUGUUGAAAAGUCCCCCGAUAAGGGACGUGAAAAGUACCUGAAACCGUGCGCUUACAAGCUGUCGGAGUCCCGACUCGUUCGGGAUCACGGCGUGCCUUUUGCAUAAUGAGCCGGCGAGUUAGCCUCUGUGGCAAGGUUAAGCGUUAUCCACGCGUAGCCGAAGCGAAAGCGAGUCUUAAAAGGGCGUACAGUCGCAGGGGUUAGACGCGAAAGCGAGUGAUCUACCCAUGGCCAGGUUGAAGGGAGGGUAAAACCUCCUGGAGGACCGAACGGGUUAACGUUGAAAAGUUAUCCGAUGAGCUGUGGGGAGGAGUGAAAGUCUAAUCAAACUCGCAGAUAUCUCGUUCUCCUCGAAAUAGCUUUAGGGCUAGCCUCGCGCUACAGUUCAUGGGGGUAGAGCCACUGGAUGGAACAGGGGGCCUAACCCGCUACCCUCUCCAACCAAACUCCGAAUACCAUGAACCUUUGACGCGGGAGUCAGUCUGUGGGGGAUAAUCUCCAUAGACAAAAGGGAAACAACCCUGACCGCCAGCUAAGGUCCCCAAUCACAUCUUAGUUCAUAAGGAAGUCAGAUUGCUGUGACAGCCAGGAUGUUGGCUUAGAAGCAGCCACCAUUUAAACAACGCGUAACAGCGGACUGGUCGAGGAGUCUGGCGCCGAUAAUGAUCGGGAAUAAGAUGUGUACCGAAGCUGCGGGCUGUGCUUGCACAGCGGUAGAGGAGCGUUCCAGCCAGCAUCGAAGCGAUAUGGUGACGUAUCGUGGAGCGGCCGGAAGUGACUAUGCCGGUUUGAGUAACGAUAAAGCAGGUGAAAAUCCUGCUCGCCGAAAGCCUAAGGUUUCCUGGGGAAGGUAAUUCCGCCCAGGGUUAGUCGGGCCCUAAGUCGAGGCCGAAGGGCGUAGACGAUGGACAGCAGGUUAAUAUUCCUGCACUGCGUGAUGCGGUUGAAGCGAUGUGACGGAUCUGAAAGGUGAAGCGACCGACUAGACGUGGUCGUUCCGCUUUUCCCGACUUGUCGGGGGAAGCGGCAAGGGCGAUUUGAUCCC
rnacentral:rRNA from 1 species